rnacentral:rRNA from 1 species
AUGUCUUCAUAUGAAUUGUUAGCUAGUACCUUGCAUUGCAUGAUGCCAUCACUUAAGGUAGAUUUGAAAAACUGUUUGCUUGGACAUGAUCGUACACACCCUGUUAGUGGCAUUGCUCAUAUCUCUGUUCAUGAUACUUAUGUUCCUGAUGCUAUACCCAUGCUUAAUGAAACGUGUGAUUCUAAUACUAGCAUUGAGCUUACUGAUUUGUACCAUCCUAAACAUGUGCUUUAUAGCUAUGCUUAUGUAAUUGGGUAUUCUAUUGAUGAUUUAGAGGGCAUUACCCCUGUCACUUGUAUCGCCUCCUUGGUUGAGUGCUCUUUCAGGUUGUUGCUUGUGCACGAUCCACUACAUGCUGAUCAAGUUUGA